rnacentral:hammerhead_ribozyme from 1 species
ACACUACUGAGGAGUCUCACAAUGAGACGAAACGGCCGUCUAGUGC